CACACUAUCAUUAACUGAAUCCAUAGGUUAAUGAGGCGAACCGGGGGAACUGAAACAUCUAAGUACCCCGAGGAAAAGAAAUCAACCGAGAUUCCCCCAGUAGCGGCGAGCGAACGGGGAGGAGCCCAGAGCCUGAAUCAGUGUGUGUGUUAGUGGAAGCGUCUGGAAAGGCGCGCGAUACAGGGUGACAGCCCCGUACACAAAAAUGCACAUGCUGUGAGCUCGAUGAGUAGGGCGGGACACGUGGUAUCCUGUCUGAAUAUGGGGGGACCAUCCUCCAAGGCUAAAUACUCCUGACUGACCGAUAGUGAACCAGUACCGUGAGGGAAAGGCGAAAAGAACCCCGGCGAGGGGAGUGAAAAAGAACCUGAAACCGUGUACGUACAAGCAGUGGGAGCACAGAGCAAUCUGUGUGACUGCGUACCUUUUGUAUAAUGGGUCAGCGACUUAUAUUCUGUAGCAAGGUUAACCGAAUAGGGGAGCCGAAGGGAAACCGAGUCUUAACUGGGCGUUAAGUUGCAGGGUAUAGACCCGAAACCCGGUGAUCUAGCCAUGGGCAGGUUGAAGGUUGGGUAACACUAACUGGAGGACCGAACCGACUAAUGUUGAAAAAUUAGCGGAUGACUUGUGGCUGGGGGUGAAAGGCCAAUCAAACCGGGAGAUAGCUGGUUCUCCCCGAAAGCUAUUUAGGUAGCGCCUCGUGAAUUCAUCUCCGGGGGUAGAGCACUGUUUCGGCAAGGGGGUCAUCCCGACUUACCAACCCGAUGCAAACUGCGAAUACCGGAGAAUGUUAUCACGGGAGACACACGGCGGGUGCUAACGUCCGUCGUGAAGAGGGAAACAACCCAGACCGCCAGCUAAGGUCCCAAAGUCAUGGUUAAGUGGGAAACGAUGUGGGAAGGCCCAGACAGCCAGGAUGUUGGCUUAGAAGCAGCCAUCAUUUAAAGAAAGCGUAAUAGCUCACUGGUCGAGUCGGCCUGCGCGGAAGAUGUAACGGGGCUAAACCAUGCACCGAAGCUGCGGCAGCGACACUGUGUGUUGUUGGGUAGGGGAGCGUUCUGUAAGCCUGUGAAGGUGUGCUGUGAGGCAUGCUGGAGGUAUCAGAAGUGCGAAUGCUGACAUAAGUAACGAUAAAGCGGGUGAAAAGCCCGCUCGCCGGAAGACCAAGGGUUCCUGUCCAACGUUAAUCGGGGCAGGGUGAGUCGACCCCUAAGGCGAGGCCGAAAGGCGUAGUCGAUGGGAAACAGGUUAAUAUUCCUGUACUUGGUGUUACUGCGAAGGGGGGACGGAGAAGGCUAUGUUGGCCGGGCGACGGUUGUCCCGGUUUAAGCGUGUAGGCUGGUUUUCCAGGCAAAUCCGGAAAAUCAAGGCUGAGGCGUGAUGACGAGGCACUACGGUGCUGAAGCAACAAAUGCCCUGCUUCCAGGAAAAGCCUCUAAGCAUCAGGUAACAUCAAAUCGUACCCCAAACCGACACAGGUGGUCAGGUAGAGAAUACCAAGGCGCUUGAGAGAACUCGGGUGAAGGAACUAGGCAAAAUGGUGCCGUAACUUCGGGAGAAGGCACGCUGAUAUGUAGGUGAAGUCCCUCGCGGAUGGAGCUGAAAUCAGUCGAAGAUACCAGCUGGCUGCAACUGUUUAUUAAAAACACAGCACUGUGCAAACACGAAAGUGGACGUAUACGGUGUGACGCCUGCCCGGUGCCGGAAGGUUAAUUGAUGGGGUCAGCGCAAGCGAAGCUCUUGAUCGAAGCCCCGGUAAACGGCGGCCGUAACUAUAACGGUCCUAAGGUAGCGAAAUUCCUUGUCGGGUAAGUUCCGACCUGCACGAAUGGCGUAAUGAUGGCCAGGCUGUCUCCACCCGAGACUCAGUGAAAUUGAACUCGCUGUGAAGAUGCAGUGUACCCGCGGCAAGACGGAAAGACCCCGUGAACCUUUACUAUAGCUUGACACUGAACAUUGAGCCUUGAUGUGUAGGAUAGGUGGGAGGCUUUGAAGUGUGGACGCCAGUCUGCAUGGAGCCGACCUUGAAAUACCACCCUUUAAUGUUUGAUGUUCUAACGUGGACCCGUGAUCCGGGUUGCGGACAGUGUCUGGUGGGUAGUUUGACUGGGGCGGUCUCCUCCUAAAGAGUAACGGAGGAGCACGAAGGUUGGCUAAUCCUGGUCGGACAUCAGGAGGUUAGUGCAAUGGCAUAAGCCAGCUUGACUGCGAGCGUGACGGCGCGAGCAGGUGCGAAAGCAGGUCAUAGUGAUCCGGUGGUUCUGAAUGGAAGGGCCAUCGCUCAACGGAUAAAAGGUACUCCGGGGAUAACAGGCUGAUACCGCCCAAGAGUUCAUAUCGACGGCGGUGUUUGGCACCUCGAUGUCGGCUCAUCACAUCCUGGGGCUGAAGUAGGUCCCAAGGGUAUGGCUGUUCGCCAUUUAAAGUGGUACGCGAGCUGGGUUUAGAACGUCGUGAGACAGUUCGGUCCCUAUCUGCCGUGGGCGCUGGAGAACUGAGGGGGGCUGCUCCUAGUACGAGAGGACCGGAGUGGACGCAUCACUGGUGUUCGGGUUGUCAUGCCAAUGGCACUGCCCGGUAGCUAAAUGCGGAAGAGAUAAGUGCUGAAAGCAUCUAAGCACGAAACUUGCCCCGAGAUGAGUUCUCCCUGACCCUUUAAGGGUCCUGAAGGAACGUUGAAGACGACGACGUUGAUAGGCCGGGUGUGUAAGCGCAGCGAUGCGUUGAGCUAACCGGUACUAAUGAACCGUGAGGCUUAACCUU
rnacentral:rRNA from 1 species